GCGGUUUUUUAAGUCUGAUGUGAAAGCCCACGGCUCAACCGUGGAGGGUCAUUGGAAACUGGAAAACUUGAGUGCAGAAGAGGAAAGUGGAAUUCCAUGUGUAGCGGUGAAAUGCGCAGAGAUAUGGAGGAACACCAGUGGCGAAGGCGACUUUCUGGUCUGUAACUGACGCUGAUGUGCGAAAGCGUGGGGAUCAAACAGGAUUAGAUACCCUGGU
rnacentral:rRNA from 12 species